rnacentral:rRNA from 1 species
CGGUUGAUCCUGCCGGAGGUUACUGCUAUCGGAGUUCGAUUAAGCCAUGCGAGUCUAAAGGUUUCUUCGGAAACCUUGGCGGACUGCUCAGUAACACGUGGAUAACCUACCCUUGGGACUGGAAUAACCCCGGGAAACUGGGGAUAAUACCGGAUAGAUCAGGGAUGCUGGAAUGCACCUUGAUCCAAAGCUCCGGCGCCCAAGGAUGGGUCUGCGGCCUAUCAGGUAGUAGUGGGUGUAACGUACCUACUAGCCAACGACGGGUACGGGUUGUGAGAGCAAGAGCCCGGAGAUGGAUUCUGAGACACGAAUCCAGGCCCUACGGGGUGCAGCAGGCGCGAAACCUUUACAAUGUGCGAAAGCAUGAUAAGGGAACUCCGAGUGCCAGCAUCUAAUGUUGGCUGUCCUUGUGCCUAAAACGCACAAGAUAGCAAGGGCCGGGUAAGACCGGUGCCAGCCGCCGCGGUAACACCGGCGGCCCGAGUGGUAGCCGCUAUUAUUGGGUCUAAAGGGUCCGUAGCCGGUUCGAUAAGUCCUCUGGGAAAUCUGGUUGCUUAACGAUCAGACUGCCAAGGGAUACUGUCGAACUUGAGACCGGGAGAGGUAAGAGGUACUUCAGGGGUAGGAGUGAAAUCUUGUAAUCCCUGGGGGACCAUCUGUGGCGAAGGCGUCUUACCAGAACGGGUCUGACGGUGAGGGACGAAAGCUGGGGGCGCAAACCGGAUUAGAUACCCGGGUAGUCCCAGCCGUAAACGAUGCUCGCUAUGUGUCUGGUACGGUGUGACCGUAUCUGGUGCCGUAGGGAAGCCGUGAAGCGAGCCACCUGGGAAGUACGGCCGCAAGGCUGAAACUUAAAGGAAUUGGCGGGGGAGCACUACAACGGGUGGAGCCUGCGGUUUAAUUGGGAUUCAACGCCGGGAAUCUUACCGGGGGGAGACAGCAGCAUGAAGGUCAGGCUGAGGACCUUACCAGAUCGCUGAGAGGAAGUGCAUGGUCGUUCGUCAGAUCGGUACUGUGCAGCAUCCUGGUAAGGUCAAGCCAACGAGCCGAGAUCUGAUGCUCCUCUCAGGCUGGC